rnacentral:rRNA from 1 species
GACAGAGGUGCCGAGCGUUAGGCGGAAUCACUGGGCUUAAAGCGUGUGUAGGCGGAUCGUUAAGUACCUUGUGAAAUCCCACGGCUCAACCGUGGAACUGCUGGGUAUACUGGCGAUCUUGAGCCACUUAGGAGCUGUCGGAACAGACGGUGGAGCGGUGAAAUGCGUAGAUAUCGUCUGGAACGCCAACGGUGAAAACAGACAGCUGGGAGUGCGCUGACGCUGAGACACGAAAGCCAGGGGAGCGAACGGG